UACCUGCAGCUCAAGUGGUGAUCAUUAUUAUUGGGCCUAAAACGUCCGUAGCCGGUUUAGUAAAUGCCUGGGUAAAUCGUGUAGCUUAACUAUACGACUUCCGGGUAGACUGCUAAACUUGAGACCGGGAGAAGCUAGAGGUACUCCUGGGGUAGAGGUGAAAUUCUGUAAUCCUAGGGGGACCACCAGUGGCGAAGGCGUCUAGCUAGAACGGGCCUGACGGUGAGGGACGAAGCCCUGGGGCACAAACCGGAUUAGAUACCCGGGUAGUCCAGGGUGUAAACGCUGCUUGCUUGAUGUUAGUUGGGCUCCGAGCCCAACUAGUGUCGGAGAGAAGUUGUUAAGCAAGCUGCCUGGGAAGUACGGUCGCAAGGCUGAAACUUAAAGGAAUUGGCGGGGGAGCACAGCAACGGGUGGAGCGUGCGGUUU
rnacentral:rRNA from 1 species